rnacentral:rRNA from 1 species
CAGCAGCCGCGGGAAUACAGAGGGUGCGAGCGUUAAUCGGAUUUACUGGGCGUAAAGCGUGCGUAGGCGGCUUUUUAAGUCGGAUGUGAAAUCCCUGAGCUUAACUUAGGAAUUGCAUUCGAUACUGGGAAGCUAGAGUAUGGGAGAGGAUGGUAGAAUUCCAGGUGUAGCGGUGAAAUGCGUAGAGAUCUGGAGGAAUACCGAUGGCGAAGGCAGCCAUCUGGCCUAUACUGACGCUGAGGUACGAAAGCAUGGGGAGCAAACAGGAUUAGAUACCCCAGUAGUCCCUGUCUCUUAUACC